rnacentral:rRNA from 1 species
AUUGAACGCUGGCGGCAGGCCUAACACAUGCAAGUCGAGCGGAGGAACGCAGCUUGCUUCUGGAUUCAGCGGCGGACGGGUGAGUAAUGCCUAGGAAUCUCCCUGGUAGUGGGGGAUAACGUCCGGAAACGGGCGCUAAUACCGCAUACGUCCUGAGGGAGAAAGUGGGGGAUCGUCGGACCUCACGCUAUCAGAUGAGCUUGUGCCGGAUUUGCUAGUUGGUGGGGUAAAGGCCUACCAAGGCGGCGAUCCGUAACUGGUCUGAGAGGAUGAUCAGUCACACUGGAACUGAGACACGGUCCAGACUCCUACGGGAGGCAGCAGUGGGGAAUAUUGGACAAUGGGCGAAAGCCUGAUCCAGCCAUGCCGCGUGUGUGAAGAAGGUCUUCGGAUUGUAAAGCACUUUAAGUUGGGAUGAAGGUCAGUAAGUUAAUAACUUGCUGUUUUGACGUUACCAACAGAAUAAGCACCGGCUAACUUCGUG